AUGAACGCUAGCUACAGGCUUAACACAUGCAAGUCGAGGGGCAGCAUGAACUUAGCUUGCUAAGUUUGAUGGCGACCGGCGCACGGGUGAGUAACACGUAUCCAACCUGCCGAUGACUCGGGGAUAGCCUUUCGAAAGAAAGAUUAAUACCCGAUGGCAUAGUUCUUCCGCAUGGUAGAACUAUUAAAGAAUUUCGGUCAUCGAUGGGGAUGCGUUCCAUUAGGUUGUUGGCGGGGUAACGGCCCACCAAGCCUUCGAUGGAUAGGGGUUCUGAGAGGAAGGUCCCCCACAUUGGAACUGAGACACGGUCCAAACUCCUACGGGAGGCAGCAGUGAGGAAUAUUGGUCAAUGGACGAGAGUCUGAACCAGCCAAGUAGCGUGAAGGAUGACUGCCCUAUGGGUUGUAAACUUCUUUUAUACGGGAAUAAAGUGAGGCACGUGUGCCUUUUUGUAUGUACCGUAUGAAUAAGGAUCGGCUAACUCCGUGCCAGCAGCCGCGGUAAUACGGAGGAUCCGAGCGUUAUCCGGAUUUAUUGGGUUUAAAGGGAGCGUAGGCGGACGCUUAAGUCAGUUGUGAAAGUUUGCGGCUCAACCGUAAAAUUGCAGUUGAUACUGGGUGUCUUGAGUACAGUAGAGGCAGGCGGAAUUCGUGGUGUAGCGGUGAAAUGCUUAGAUAUCACGAAGAACUCCGAUUGCGAAGGCAGCCUGCUGGACUGUAACUGACGCUGAUGCUCGAAAGUGUGGGUAUCAAACAGGAUUAGAUACCCUGGUAGUCCACACAGUAAACGAUGAAUACUCGCUGUUUGCGAUAUACAGUAAGCGGCCAAGCGAAAGCGUUAAGUAUUCCACCUGGGGAGUACGCCGGCAACGGUGAAACUCAAAGGAAUUGACGGGGGCCCGCACAAGCGGAGGAACAUGUGGUUUAAUUCGAUGAUACGCGAGGAACCUUACCCGGGCUUGAAUUGCAACUGAAUGAUGUGGAGACAUGUCAGCCGCAAGGCAGUUGUGAAGGUGCUGCAUGGUUGUCGUCAGCUCGUGUCGUGAGAUGUUGGGUUAAGUCCCGCAACGAGCGCAACCCUUAUCUUCAGUAGCCAGCAUUUUGGAUGGGCACUCUGGAGAGACUGCCAGGGAUAACCUGGAGGAAGGUGGGGAUGACGUCAAAUCAGCACGGCCCUUACGUCCGGGGCUACACACGUGUUACAAUGGGGGGUACAGAAGGCAGCUACACGGCGACGUGAUGCUAAUCCCUAAAGCCUCUCUCAGUUCGGAUUGGAGUCUGCAACCCGACUCCAUGAAGCUGGAUUCGCUAGUAAUCGCGCAUCAGCCACGGCGCGGUGAAUACGUUCCCGGGCCUUGUACACACCGCCCGUCACACCAUGAGAGCCGGGGGGACCCGAAGUCGAUAGUCUAACCGCAAGGAGGACGUCGCCGAAGGUAAAACUGGUGAUUGGGGUG
rnacentral:rRNA from 1 species